AUUGAACGCUGGCGGAAUGCUUUACACAUGCAAGUCGAACGGCAGCACGGACUUCGGUCUGGUGGCGAGUGGCGAACGGGUGAGUAAUGUAUCGGAACGUGCCCAGUCGUGGGGGAUAACGUAGUGAAAAUUACGCUAAUACCGCAUACGAUCUAUUGAUGAAAGCGGGGGAUCGCAAGACCUCGCGCGAUUGGAGCGGCCGAUAUCAGAUUAGGUAGUUGGUGGGGUAAAGGCCCGCCAAGCCAACGAUCUGUAGCUGGUCUGAGAGGACGACCAGCCACACUGGAACUGAGACACGGUCCAGACUCCUACGGGAGGCGGCAGUGGGGAAUUUUGGACAAUGGGCGAAAGCCUGAUCCAGCCAUUCCGCGUGCAGGAUGAAGGCCCUCGGGUUGUAAACUGCUUUUGUACAGAACGAAAAGGUUUCUACUAAUACUAGGAGCUCAUGACGGUACUGUAAGAAUAAGCACCGGCUAACUACGUGCCAGCAGCCGCCGUAA
rnacentral:rRNA from 1 species